rnacentral:rRNA from 1 species
GACGAACGCUGGCGGCGUGCUUAACACAUGCAAGUCGAACGGAAAGGCCCUGCUUUUGUGGGGUGCUCGAGUGGCGAACGGGUGAGCAACACGUGAGUAACCUGCCCUUGACUUUGGGAUAACUUCAGGAAACUGGGGCUAAUACCGGAUAGGAGCUCCUGCUGCAUGGUGGGGGUUGGAAAGUUUCGGCGGUUGGGGAUGGACUCGCGGCUUAUCAGCUUGUAGGUGGGGUAGUGGCUUACCAAGGCUUUGACGGGUAGCCGGCCUGAGAGGGUGACCGGCCACAUUGGGACUGAGAUACGGCCCAGACUCCUACGGGAGGCAGCAGUGGGGAAUAUUGCACAAUGGGCGGAAGCCUGAUGCAGCAACGCCGCGUGCGGGAUGACGGCCUUCGGGUUGUAAACCGCUUUCGCCUGUGACGAAGCGUGAGUGACGGUAAUGGGUAAAGAAGCACCGGCUAACUACGUG